rnacentral:lncRNA from 1 species
AGCCCGGGACAGCGCUGCACCUGUUGCCACGUGCGACGCGGCGCUCAGCGGCUGCCACUGCCGCCGGCGCACCUGGCUGCACCGCGCGUCCCGGGACCACGCUCGUCCCCGCAGGAGCCCGGGGCUCCGCCGCACCCAGCGCUAGGGCCCAGGCCGGGCCGCGGUAGGUGGGGGAUCUGACUCCUGCUUGCCUCUGGCCACCUGCAGGCCGAGGGGCCUCGCACCGCGGGGCGUAUAGAAGGUGGGAAGGUUGCAGAAUUAUCAGGGCGGAAGCUUGCAAGGAAGGAGUCGUGAUUGUCUCUUAGAAGGGCUGAUUCGCAGUCUGUAUUAUCUUCAUGCUUCUAGCAAGUUUACUAGCAAGUGUGUAUUAAAGGUUAAAGAAAGUAGCUUUCCAGCUAUUAGAGCUUGAGAUACAACGUGGAAAGGAGUCUAGAACCCCAGGGAGAUAAACUAGGCUCGACCUACUUUUCUCUAAACACAAACACAGUCCUUGCUGUUUGCUAAACUGAGCAAAUUUCAUCGACAGCUGUCUUCUAGGUCCGUAAAAUAUUUUCUUCUAUAAAGCAUAUUUUUAAUAGAAAACUUGUCCGAAGAUGCUAUUCUGCCUGUGAGAGAUGUCACAUUGCUGAACCGUGAAAUGUCAGACAACCUGAGAACAAAAUUUUAAUAUUUCCUUUUUAAUUACCUGGAUUGUGGUUUGCUAAAAGCUUUUAAAGAGAAGUGAACUUUUUUGGAGAAUAGACGUAAGGACUCUGUAUUUCACAGUUUUCUAUACCAUGAAUAUUAGAAUAACUGACAGAUGUCUUGCCAUUGAUAGUUGUAAAGACUUUUCAUAUGUACAAUGAUCCAUUAUUUCCUGACUACAAAACCCAGGGGUAUAUAGGUCAGAUUAUCUCCAUUAUUCAAAUGAGGAAUUGAAGCUCAGAAAGGUCAAGUGACUAGCGCAAGGUCACACAGCCAGUGAGGGCAAGUGCAAACCCAGCCAGCCUAACUCCUAAUCUUCUCUUUUAAUUCCAUUACAUAAUGACACCUCUCAUUUGCUUCAGAAAUCCCUGUUGUAAAGAUAGAUGCAACUAGCAUGAUCCGUGUUGUUAGGAAAGGCAUGUGAUUAAUUUUAAAUAGAUAUAGUAUUUAACACCACCAGAUGAGUCUCCCUCUGAAAAAGCACACAAAAACAAAACAAAACGCUGACAUAGUUUCCGCAAGUCACGAGGCAAUUAUGCUAAUUAGCAACAAGCCUCCAUCCCUAAGCAGAAUAGUUCUUGUGUGAAACAUAUCAUUUAAUCUUUAUAACCCUGAUGUGACCUAGAUGAUUUGGUCUAAACCCCACAAUCCUAUUGUGUGGCUUAGUUAUAUCUAUAAAUAUAGAACCUGUUUUACUUCAUUUUUGUGUCAGGUGGUUUGAAGGGGGGAAACAUACAAUGCUCUGCUAAGUAAUUAGAGCUACUUACGCAGGCAUUGGGGAAUCUGAAACUUAGCUUCUAAUUGUCUCCACAUAAAAACAGAAGUUAACUUCUAGGGACAUCUUCAGGGACUCCUCAAGGCAAAUAUUCAUGAAAUGGGGCCUAUUGGCUUUUCUUUUCAUCUUGGUUCUGGGCAUGUUGCCAUGUUCCUGAUCUCUGAACUCUGAUGCUGACCUGCUACAGACUCCAGGAGCAAUAUUAAGGAUAAAAUAAUAACUCACAUAACUUUGUGGCUCUUUAUUCUAAAAAAAAAAAAAAAAGUUGGCUCAAUUUUUUUUCCUCCAUAAGAAAAUGCAAAUUGCAACUGUAUUGAGAAACCAUUUUUUCACUUAUCAGAUUGUCAAAGAUUAGAAAGUUUGAUAAUCACAGUGUUGGUAAAAGUGUAGACUAGCAGUCACAAUGAAAAUGUAAAUGUAAAUUAUAAUGACCUCCCUAGGGGGAAGGUCAGGAUACCUAACAAUAUUGCAACUAUACGUAUAAGAGUUUAUCUUGGCCCUGCGUGGUGGCACGGUGACUCAUGCCUGCAAUCCCAGCACUUGGGGAGGCCGAGGCGGGCAGAUCACCUGAGGUCAGGAGUUGGAGACCAGCCUGGCCAACAUGGUGAAACCCUGUCUCAACUAAAAAUACAAAAAUUAGCCAGACAUGAUAGCAGGCGCCUGUAAUCCCAGCUACUUGGGAGGCUGAGGCAGGAGAAUCCCUUGAACCUGGAAAGCGAAGUUUGCAGUGAGCCGAGAUUGUGACACUGCACUCCAGCCUGGGCAACGCACCGCGACUCUGUCUCAAAAAAAAAAAAAGAGUUUAUCUUACAACACACAGGAGAAAUGUGUGAAAAAAAAGGAAAAAACUGAAAAUCUCAAGAGGAUUCCAGGAAAUCAAAACAAUGAAUUAUUGAAUCAAGAAUUUGAAAGAGAAAAUAGAUGCAUACUGAAAAAAGAAUUUUGUUUAGUGAGAUAGAUGUAAUAAUGAAGGCAUGUUGAUAACGGGGGAGCUAUGUAUAUAUGAGGGGAGGGAUAUAUUGGAAAUCUCUGUAUCUUCCUCUCAAUCUUGCUGUGAUCCUAAAACUGCUCUAAAAAAUAUUUUGAGAAGGAAUAAUGAUGUGGUAAACAUGUUCUGUUAUUUAAAAAGAGAGACUUUUCAUAGCCGCCUCCCUCCCCCUCUACACACACACAGAGUCCUGUCCGUCUUCAUUCCCUUACUCAAUAAUUUGUACAGACACAGCCACUGGGCUCCAGUAAUCCUAAAGUUUCUAGAAAAUCAAGCACAGAAAAAGGUUAAAACCCUGAGGGAAUAAAAGAAUUCCUUUGCAUCCAUUGCAUUUCUCAGGAAGUGAACUAACAAAUUCACUGCUUUUAAAUGAGGAAAUUUUCUCAGUGAAAUUGAUUCCAAACCUUCGUUAGGUCAACUGUUCCCAGAUUUCUUAGCUGAUGCCUGAUCUGACUAUUCCUUAUCUUUAGUACAGAAACCAAGGUGAAUGACCUUUAAAAAACAUAUUAGACUGUUGACGUGUCUUCUAUGUUGUACUCUAGGUAAAAACGAUAAACCAGGAAAAAGAAAGUAAAAUUCAACCUUAGGCUCAUGGAUCCAGAGUGGAUAAUUAUGAGUCUGUAGUAUCUACAUGCAUGUGAUGAGGUUCAAGGACAAUAACCAUAAAGCAAAGACUUAAAAGGUUUUAUCAUUAGAAUAAUUGUAAUUCACUUGAUCUCUCAAUGUAACAAUACUUCGGUCUACUGUCUCAAGCCAUUAUUAUGUCUUACACUCAGCAUAUUGGUUUGUCUACCAUUAAAUAUUUAUUUUCUACAGUGCUUUCUGGAAGGCAAACAAAGCAGCCACUCUGCUACUUUAUAUUGAUUCCUGAGUUGUCCUUCGGAAACGCUUUCAGGAAGUUUAAUAGGUUUGAAAGAUAUUUAGACCUGUGACUGGCAAAUAUACUUCCUUCUUUUUAUUUCAAUAAGAGAGUACUAGAACUUAGAUCUUUAUUGUUUAAUCUAGUCAGUGCUGUCAUUGUCAAUCAAGUUCUCAAAUGACACUUGUCCUGAGCUGUAACUGAUCUAUUCAGAAGAAUAUGAAAAUAGUAAAGACGGCAACUAUGCAUGUUUUUACCGGACACGAUUUUAAUUGCUUUAAAAUGAAGUUAUGCAACCAAUGAGGAAUGGAGCUUUUGGAGUGGCCUGAAGCUAAAGGUUUCAGGUGUAUUUUUGCUUUCUUUGAAGAAAGAACCAAAUCAUUUUAUUUAAUAAAAAGGCCAUUUAUCAAGAAUUUCUUAAAGCUGUUUUAAACCUGAGUUUGCAAUUUAUAGAAUAUGUUCAAGCAGCCUCAGUGCCCUUUUAAUUGGAUGGUUUUCACAGAUUUAUCCAAUUUGAGAUUUAUCCAGUGAGAAUUCCCUUUGUUCAAGUAUAUAUGUCUUCUCUUCCAUAAAGCAGAUUCAAAUGAAAGAGUGCAAUCUGAUAUAUCAGACAUGUCAGUUAUACAUUUGAUGUGGUAAAUUUAUAAGAGAGGCCAAUUAUUGUUAUGAAAAAAUACAAUGAAAUACAUGAUAGUCAUUUACUGUUUUUAUAACUAAUCUAAAAGUAUUUACUAAAAAGAAACUAUUUCUUUUCAUAUGUACUUUACUUUUUACUUUAACCCUUCAUAUGUCCUUUAAAUAAAGAGAAGAAAAAAAGUCAUUUAUAUUUAUCCACAUAUUUUCUAUUUCAGGUGGUCCUCAUUCAUUCUUGUAGAUCCAAGUUACCAUCUGUUAUUAUUUUCUUUGUCACCUGAAGAAUUUUCAGAACUAUUUCUUCCUAUAUGUAGCAUGUAUAGAUACUCUAAAAAGUCCAUUAUAUGAUGUAUAAAACAAAGCAUACAAUGUAGUCUCUGCCCUAAUUAUUUGUAAUUUAUAUAAAACCUUUUAUUUUUU